rnacentral:rRNA from 1 species
CCAGACUCCACGGGAGGCAGCAGUGGGGAAUCUUCCGCAAUGGACGAAAGUCUGACGGAGCAACGCCGCGUGAGUGAUGACGGCCUUCGGGUUGUAAAGCUCUGUUAAUCGGGACGAAAGGCCUUCUUGCGAAUAGUGAGAAGGAUUGACGGUACCGGAAUAGAAAGCCACGGCUAACUACGUGCCAGCAGCCGCGGUAAUACGUAGGUGGCAAGCGUUGUCCGGAAUUAUUGGGCGUAAAGCGCGCGCAGGCGGAUAGGUCAGUCUGUCUUAAAAGUUCGGGGCUUAACCCCGUGAUGGGAUGGAAACUGCCAAUCUAGAGUAUCGGAGAGGAAAGUGGAAUUCCUAGUGUAGCGGUGAAAUGCGUAGAUAUUAGGAAGAACACCAGUGGCGAAGGCGACUUUCUGGACGAAAACUGACGCUGAGGCGCGAAAGCCAGGGGAGCGAACGGGAUUAGAUACCCCGGUAGUCCUGGCCGUAAACGAUGGGUACUAGGUGUAGGAGGUAUCGACCCCUUCUGUGCCGGAGUUAACGCAAUAAGUACCCCGCCUGGGGAGUACGACCGCAAGGUUGAAACUCAAAGGAAUUGACGGGGGCCCGCACAAG